AUGGCGGAGCGCAAGGAGGAGUCGGUGAUGGACAAGAUCACGGAGAAGUUCCACGGGGGGUCCUCCUCCUCGUCGUCGUCCGACGACGAGGGGAGGUCGGGGUCCUCGUCGUCCGUCAAGGCCAAGAUCUACCGCCUCUUCGGCCGCGAGAAGCCCGUCCACUCCGUCCUCGGCGGCGGCAAGCCUGCCGACCUCUUCCUGUGGAGGAACAAGAAGAUCUCUGGCGGGGUGCUCGCCGGCGCCACCGCCAUCUGGCUGCUGUUUGAGGUCCUGGAGUACCACCUCCUCACCCUCCUCUGCCACGGCUUCAUCCUCACCCUGGGCAUCCUCUUCCUCUGGUCCAACGCCUCUGCCUUCGUCAACAAGUGCCCUCCCAACAUUCCAGAGGUGAAGAUCCCUGAGGACCUGGCUGUCAAUGUUGCCCGCUCGCUGCGAUACGAGAUCAACAGGGGCUUUGCUAGCCUGAGGGCGAUUGGUCAAGGCCGUGACCUGAAGAAAUUCUUGAUUGUGGUUGCAGGCCUGUGGAUCCUCUCUUUUCUUGGCAGCUGCUGCAAUUUCCUGACCUUGUUCUACAUAGGUAUAUGUGGUUUCUUGCUACAGUUCGUUACUUACAUAUGUGCAAUAAGCUUGCCUAGCAUUGUUUCACUGAUCAUGCCUUCUUGUUUGCAGUCUUCAUGGUGCUUUACACCGUGCCUGUUCUGUACGAGAAGUAUGAGGACAAGAUCGAUGCUUUUGGAGAGAAGGCCAUGGUUGAGCUGA
rnacentral:rRNA from 1 species